AGAAAUAGAAGGAAAGAAGAGAAGAAAGAAAGAAGAAGAAGAAAAGCUCUUGGAAAGAUCAUCAUCAGCUUCAAUCCUCAUCAUCUUCAUCUAUCAAGGUGGGUUCUUAGAUAACUGUAGCUAUAGAAAAAUUGCAUGAAAAUUGAGUUUUUGGGUUUUUGUGAUUUUUUGCUUUGUUGUGGAAUUGAUGAUUGUAACAUGAUUAUUGUUAUGUUUUGUGCUAUUGCUAGUAAUCCAUGAUGAUAUGUUGCGUUUAUGUUAUAUGUUAUGUCAUGUUAUUGUGUAUUGAUGUUGUGUGGAUGUUAUGAAAAUAUGUGAAAAGACUAUGUUAUUGUUGUUAUUAUUGUUUUUUGUUGUUAAGACUUGUUGAAUACCUGAAUUAUGUUGUUAUGGUUAGAGAUUCACAAGAAUGAAGUUAAUAUGUGUGUUAUGAAGUUGAAAUUAUAUGUCUUGAUAUGUUAUAAGAAUAUAGAAGGAGUUGGAUUGUUAGAGAUUAACGAUGUUAAGAAGUGAUUAGAACAUAUUUGUUUAUACAUCCUAGUAUGAUAUUGAAUUCAUGGUAUGAAAUGCUAGAAUGUUAGCCUAUGUUUAGGUAUGAUUUAGAAUGGUUUGAUUUGGAGGAAGAAGUGUUAAAACUGGUAUUUUUGAGAAAAAAAACACAAUGUAAAUCGAUUGUAUUAUUCAAUCAAUUGAUUGCACUACCUGAAAAUGUUGUUUUUCGCUUAUCAGAAUGAGUCUUCGUGCAAUCGAUUUACACCUCUAUUUUCACUAUAAAAUGAGUUUCGUAACUCAGAAUGAGGCGUGGUCAGAUGCAUUGGAAAGCUAGUUCAAUGCUCUAAUGCUUGGUGAGAUAAAAUCAUACUUAUAUUUUAAUUAUCACUUGGCUGAUGGUAUUAUACUAUUAUGUACGUUUAUGACUUAUUUCCCUGAUUCCACCAUAAACAGGAUUCAUAACUUUGGUAAAAGCGAGGGUUGAAUGCAUUGGAUCAUUAAUCCAAUGUUAUAUCCUUUUAUGAAUUAAAAAUCAUGCAUGUAUAUUUAAUAAUGCAUGAUGAGAAAUGUUGAAC
rnacentral:lncRNA from 1 species